rnacentral:rRNA from 1 species
CAGUAGCCGCGGGAAUACGAACCGUGCGAACGUUAUUCGGAAUUACUGGGCUUAAAGCGCGUGUAGGCGGGCCGCCACGUCGGUUGCUGAAAUCCCCCGGCUCAACCGGGGAAGUGGCAUCGAUACGAGCGGCCUUGAGGGGGGUAGGGGGAUCUGGAACUUCCGGUGGAGCGGUGAAAUGCGUUGAGAUCGGAAGGAACGCCCGUGGCGAAGGCGAGGUCCUGGACCCUUUCUGACGCUGAGACGCGAAAGCCAGGGGAGCGAACGGGAUUAGAUACCCCAGUAGUCCCUGUCUCUUAUA